GACGUAGGGGACGAGCGUUGUCCGGAUUCAUUGGGCGUAAAGGGUGCGUAGGUGGCCAACUAAGUCAGACGUGAAAUCCCUCAGCUUAACUGGGGAACUGCGUCUGAUACUGGAUGGCUUGAGUUUGGGAGAGGGACGCGGAAUUCCAGGUGUAGCGGUGAAAUGCGUAGAUAUCUGGAGGAACACCGGUGGCGAAGGCGGCGUCCUGGACCAACACUGACACUGAUGAGCGAAAGCCAGGGGAGCAAACGGG
rnacentral:rRNA from 1 species